UGUGUGUGUGUGUGUGUGUAUGUAUACACAUGUAUGUAUAUUUGUAUAUAUGUGUGUGCAUGUAUAUGUACACACACAUA